UAAAAAGAAACAUGCUGGAGGACAGCUAGUAGGUCUUCUGGUGGUAGGUCCUUCAUAUUCCUCCUGUCAACUCCAUUUUUAUAUAUCCUCCCAGGCAGCUCUGGAGUCGCAUGUAGCUCUUUCAUUCCUCUGCUGCGGCUCCCUGGGGCUUUUGAAAAUUAAUGAGUAUUUAAUUUAUUUUUGUUUAUUAGUUUUUAAAAUGUAAUUCUAAAUUUGAAGAUUAUGCCGAUAUUAGGUAUUACAGGUAUUAUCUCCUGCUGCACAACAAAGUCCAGUCGCUGUCCAGAGUGGAGGUGCUGAAA